AGAGUUUGAUCAUGGCUCAGAACGAACGCUGGCGGCAGGCCUAACACAUGCAAGUCGAGCGCGCCCUUCGGGGUGAGCGGCGGACGGGUUAGUAACGCGUGGGAACGUACCCUUUGGUAGGGAAUAGCCACUGGAAACGGUGAGUAAUACCCUAUGAGCCCUUCGGGGGAAAGAUUUAUCGCCAAAGGAUCGGCCCGCGGUAGAUUAGGUAGUUGGUGGGGUAAUGGCCUACCAAGCCUACGAUCUAUAGCUGGUUUUUAGAGGAUGAUCAGCAACACUGGGACUGAGACACGGCCCAGACUCCUACGGGAGGCAGCAGUGGGGAAUCUUGGACAAUGGGGGCAACCCUGAUCCCAGCCAUGCCGCGUGAGUGAAGAAGGCCUUAGGGUCGUAAAGCUCUUUCGCCUGUGAAGAUAAUGACGGUAGCAGGUAAAGAAACCCCGGCUAACUCCGUGCCAGCAGCCGC
rnacentral:rRNA from 1 species